rnacentral:rRNA from 1 species
GACGAACGCUGGCGGCGUGCUUAACACAUGCAAGUCGAACGGAAAGGCCCUGCUUUUGUGGGGUGCUCGAGUGGCGAACGGGUGAGUAACCCGUGAGUAACCUGCCCUUGACUUUGGGAUAACUUCAGGAAACUGGGGCUCAUACCGGAUAGGAGCUCCUGCUGCAUGGUGGGGGUUGGAAAGUUUCGGCGGUUGGGGAUGGACUCGCGGCUUAUCAGCUUGUUGGUGGGGUAGUGGCUUACCAAGGCUUUGACGGGUAGCCGGCCUGAGAGGGUGACCGGCCACAUUGGGACGGAGAUAGGGCCCAGACUCCUACGGGAGGCAGCAGUGGGGAAUAUUGCACAAUGGGCGGAAGCCUGAUGCAGCAACGCCGCGUGCGGGAUGACGGCCUUCGGGUUGUAAACCGCUUUCGCCUGUGACGAAGCGUGAGUGACGGUAAUGGGUAAAGAAGCACCGGCUAACUACGUG